rnacentral:rRNA from 8 species
UCAUAUCUGACCUCAGUUUAGGUGAGACUACCCGCUGAACUUAAGCAUAUCAGUAAGCGGAGGAAAAGAAACUAACAAGGAUUCCCUUAGUAGCGGCGAGCGAACAGGGAAGAGCCCAGCACCGAAUCCCGCGCCCUGCAAAGAGGACGCAGGGAAAUGUGGUGUUUGGGAGGGCCGUGCGCGCCUGUCCGGUAUUAGCCCAAGUUCUCAUGAACGAGACGAGCAACCCGUAGAGGGUGUCAGGCCCGUCGAUAGCUAGCCGCGACCGUGCAUUGGGCCUUUCCC